rnacentral:lncRNA from 1 species
GAAUGGAGAUGCCAAACGUCAGUGAGUUCAGGUCAUUAAGGUGCUCUUCGGGUUGAAACAAACGCUCACUGAGUCCUCAUCAGGACAAAGGGAGGAGCUGAAAUGCUGCUGCUUCCUAUUUUUACUGCUUCUGGACUGCUUCUGCUCGCGCUCGCUGUUCUCAAAGUGUCACUUUCUUUUGCCGCAGCAAACAAAGCCCCCGAAAUCCACUAUAUUCAUACCUGCACGGCGUGCAGCAGUAGAGCUCCUUCGUACCUGGGCGAACACAGUGAAACGCUCAAAGCCACACAUCCGGAUAUUAUCCCCAGCAGUUGCAGAGUGAAAGCAGAGGUAAUAAUUAGUGGUUAGAGUCAGCAGGUGGCCACAGAGGAUGGAGGUGAAGUUGCUUAGACACAGCAUCAUGUAUCACUUUGGAGGUCUCUGCUUGAGUUCACGCCCUGUAGCUUCAAGAAAAAGCCAGCUAGAAGGAGCGUCGCAUUCAUCAGGUGGAUGGAAGCACAGAUUUGCCACAUUAACUUUAUAAAUGUAUGAAAAAGUUGCUCUGAAUAUGAUUCUCUUCAGCUUCUCAUGUGUAAAGAGGCCGCAGACCCGGUCCACUUUGUGCCUAUGCCGUCCAUCCAAGUCCCUGUCACUCCCCCAGCGAGUGCUUUCAGCUGCAGCACCGAACCCUCCCUGCAUGAGUCCAGAUCCGUGUGCAGGCACCCACGCUAAUUGCAUCCAGCACCAAUUAAUCUGGUUCUUUGCAAAGAGUAGAUGAGCAGAGACCCCCCGCUGUCCAAUAGAUUGGUGGACACGGCUUUUGUACCUAGUUAGUCUCCUUCCCAUCGUCCUCCUCCCCUUUCCUCUGCAUUGCAGUGUUCAGUGAAACAGGGUGGAUGCGCUGGCGGCGGUUGAGACUUUUUCCUUUCUACUUCCCAGGCUGCAGCGUGCUCCCUUCUGACACCUCCAGAUAUGAAGCUGAACUUGUAAACUGUCCCCCGACUUGAUCGUCUUUGCAGGAGGUGGAUGCCGUGACGGCGGAGUGUCUGGCGUUGAGGGAGCGGGUGCGUGUCUACGCGGCGCAGCGAGCCAACGUGGAGGCCCAGCGCACGGCGGCGGCCGAGCGUCUGCUGGAGCCCGCUGACGGGUCCACGCCGGCGGUGGCAGCCAUUAAAUUCGGCAGCCCUGCCGUCACCGCGGCCUUGGGUGUAAAGGAGUAUUACUGCCGGCUGGCGGAGAGCCUCCAGUGCGUCGUGGCUGCCGCCGCUGUGGUUUGUGGUGGUGAUGCAGAGCAGCGGGAUGUGAGAGGAGCUGGGAGGUCGGUGGUCAGAGACUGGCCGGCGACGAAGGACGCUGGUGACAUGAAGACGCUGGUCUCUGAGCUACAAAAGGAGUUUGCUGAGCUCGAACAGCGCAACGAGGAGCUGGAGGACGAGGCUGAAAUGAAGAGGGCUGCGCACAUGGAAGAGGUAGCGGAGUUGGAGUACACCAUAAAUGAGCUGCAGCACCGGGACUCCAGCUUCCGAACCCAAAUGAAGGAGCAGUGUGACGACUACAGGGUGCUGCUCAGUGAGAAGAUGGCCAGAGACAUGGAGAUCGCAGCCUACAGGAGCCUGCUGGAGGAGGAGGAGGCGAGGCUGUGCGACCUGUGACUCGAGGCCCGGCGGCUCCGGGAGCGUCUGGCGUGCGGCCGAACGCUCCCACGCUCACGCGGAUUAGAAAGCAGACAGAGGAGAAACGCAGAACCCAGAUCAGCAGUAGGGUGAAGCAUAAGGUACCGACGCAGCGGGUUGGAGCGCACGCAAACUUAUCACCACAGAUUAAUGCCGUCUGGAGGCCUAAGUCGAGUCAUUGAUAAGCGGCCGCCGGCAGAUGACCCUGAGGCUCAGAGAAGGAUGGAGCUGUCUGAGACUGAUUUGGGGGGGGGUGAUGAGAGAAAAACUGUUUGGUGUCUGGCUGGGACGUUGCCUUAAGUGGGUUCGAUUUUCACCCACUCACUUCACUGUACAAGUCUAACGCACACAGAUACGAACACGCACCAAAGCGGAACCAGCGCCGCUGCCCCUCAUCCAUCACUCAAACCGGUCACCAGCUCUUAACCCGUGACCCCCCCAAUGUUAACACACAUAUUGACGGCGCUCGCUCCACCAAGCGCAGGCGCGCCGCCGCACAGUCACGCAUCCCCGUGGCUUCUACGCGCUGCCGUGUUUGCUUUUCAAAUGGCUCGUGAGCGAGCACCUGGAUCUACAAGAGCAGCGCGAGCGCUUCAUUAGUCUCCCUCCAAAAGCAGUGUCUCAAUUUGCUGUAUUUUUGUUGUUGUUUCAGAAAAAAAAACAACAUUUGGCGAAACAUUCCUCCGUAAUCUUUUCCUGAUUUUCUACAAGCUGUCUGUGAUAAAUCAUCUUUGCGUCCUGCCUCUGCACCAGCGGCACAAUUGGCUUAAGGUUGAAUGAAAUAAAAGUAGCUGCUUUAAACUGUGGGUGUUUUCU